rnacentral:rRNA from 1 species
GAGCGCCGUAGCAAUACGGAGCGGCAGACGGGAGAGUAACACGUGGGAACGUGCCCUUCAGUUCGGAACAACCCCAGGGAAACUUGGGCUAAUACCGGAUACGUCCGUAAGGAGAAAGAUUUAUCGCUGAAGGAUCGGCCCGCGUCUGAUUAGCUAGUUGGUGGGGUAAUGGCCCACCAAGGCGACGAUCAGUAGCUGGUCUGAGAGGAUGAUCAGCCUCACUGGGACUGAGACACGGCCCAGACUCCUACGGGAGGCAGCAGUGGGGAAUAUUGGACAAUGGGCGCAAGCCUGAUCCAGCAAUGCCGCGUGAGUGAUGAAGGCCUUAGGGUUGUAAAGCUCUUUCGGCGGGGACGAUGAUGACGGUACCCGCAGAAGAAGCCCCGGCUAACUUCGUG